rnacentral:rRNA from 1 species
AACGAACGCUGGCGGCAUGCCUAACACAUGCAAGUCGAACGAGACCUUCGGGUCUUUUGGCGCACGGGUGCGUAACGCGUGGGAACCUGCCCUUAGGUUCGGAAUACCUCCCCGACUGGGGUGCUAAUACCGGAUAAUGUCUUCGGACCAAAGAUUUAUCGCCUUUGGAUGGGCCCGCGUUGGAUUAGCUAGUUGGUAGGGUAAAAGCCUACCAAGGCGCCGAUCCAUAGCUGGUCUGAGAGGAUGAUCAGCCACACUGGGACUGUGACACGGCCCAGACUCCUACGGGAGGCAGGAGUGGGGAAUAUUGGACAAUGGGCGAAAGCCUGAUCCAGCAAUGCCGCGGGAGUGAUGAAGGCCUUAGGGUUGUAAAGCUCUUUUAACCGGGAUGAUAAUGACAGUACCGGGAGAAUAAGCUCCGGCUAACUCCGUG